rnacentral:rRNA from 1 species
CGGUGAAUACGUUCUCAGGUCUUGUACACACCGCCCGUCAAGCCAACAAAGUCGGGGGUGCCUGAAGUAUCUCUUUAUGAGGUCCCAAGGCAAAACCGGCGAUGGGGACUAAGUCGUAAGCAAG